UACGAAGGAUCCAAGCGUUAUCCGGAUUUAUUGGGCGUAAAGGGCGCGUAGGCGGCCAUUCAAGUGACGGGUGAAAGCCCUCGGCUUAACCGAGGAACUGCCUGUCAGACUGGAUGGCUUGAGACCGGGAGAGGUGAGUGGAAUUCCCAGUGUAGCGGUGAAAUGCGUAGAUAUUGGGAGGAACACCAGUGGCGAAGGCGGCUCACUGGACCGGAACUGACGCUGAGGCGCGAAAGCGUGGGGAGCAAACAGG
rnacentral:rRNA from 1 species